ensembl:lncRNA
AUGAGCUGUCCGUCACCAAAGGAAGACGUGGACCCGGGGGACGAUGACAGAGACUGGACACACCCCUUUGGUUUGACCUUCUCACAGGAACCAACUGUUCUUUGUCAACAGCAAUACAGUCUCUCUCUCUCUCUCUCUCUCACACACACAUUCACCAUUGUCUCUGGAUGUAAAAUCACCCUGGUUUCACUGUGAAGUUCUCUGGAGGUUCUCUUAGUUCCUUAUUUAAUUUGGGUGUUAAUGUGUGUGUGUGUGGCUCUGUGCUCUGACCUGCUGUUGCCUGAGAGUAAUGUGUCAGAAACGUUCUGAGAACGUCUGAGUAACGUCAGUGAUCUGCUCUGUACCAGGGGAUGAACAGUGAAAACUUCAUCCCUCCCGAUCUCUACUGUUUAGAAUAAAUGAAUCAAUACUUAGAUAUUUUGACCGGAUCCAACAAAUGUGCAUCAUUUAUUAAGUAUAAAGCAUUUCAUACCAACAGUGUCAUAGAGCAAAUAAAUGCAUGAUAAAAAACACACAAUUAAAAUCAUAAAUACAUCACAUUUCCUAUAUAUAACAAAUACAUCAAAU